GAUGAACGCUGGCGGCGUGCUUAACACAUGCAAGUCGAACGAUGAACCCGGAGCUUGCUCCGGUGGAUUAGUGGCGAACGGGUGAGUAACACGUGAGUAACCUGCCCUUGACUCUGGGAUAACUGCGGGAAACUGUAGCUAAUACCGGAUACGACCCUCGGCGGCAUCGCCAGGGGGUGGAAAGAAUUUCGGGCAAGGAUGGACUUUCGGCCUAUCAGCUGGUUGGUGAGGUAACGGCUCACCAAGGCAACGACGGGUAGCCGGCCUGCGAGGGUGACCGGUCACAAUGGGACUGAGACACGGCCCAGACGCCUAAGGGAGGCAGCAGUGGGGAAAAUUGCACAAUGGGCGCAAGCCUGAUGCAGCAACGCCGCGUGAGGGAUGACGGCCUUCGGGUUGUAAACCUCUUUUAGUAGGGAAGAAGCGAAAGUGACGGUACCUGCAGAAGAAGCACCGGCUAACUACGUGCCAGCAGCCGCGGUAA
rnacentral:rRNA from 1 species